UCUGAAAAGACCCAUGGCCAUGCCACUGUUUCUCUGUGGGAUCCUCUCUAAUUUUUUAUAUAGUUGUGCACAUUUUAAAGUUGGCUGAGGCCAAGAUGGAGUGCCUUUUGGUGUGAGUCCCGAACUGUGUUUAGAUUGGUUUUCGGACACAUGUUUGCUCAUUGCCCUAUAUUUAUGGUGCCAGUCGUUGUUUAGUCACUAAGCCAUGUCCUACUCACUGCGACCCCAUGGACUGUAGCCCACCAGGUUCCUUAAGUCCAUGGGAUUUCCCAGGCAAGAAUACUGAAGUGGGUUGCCAUUUCCUUCUCGAGGGGAUCUUCCUGACUCAGGGAUAGAACCUGUGUCAGCUGCAUUGACAGGUGAAUUCUCUACCACUGACCACCAGGGAAGUCCUGGGAUAUUGGCCUCGACAUGUUUGAAUUUCCAGAGGCUAGUGUGUUAAGCAGGACUGGCAGGAGAAACCUCAGCCUGCAUUGCAGUGGGAGCGGGUGGGCCUGCAUUCUCCCAGUUGGCCCGCAGAGGGCGACAACCUGCCUCUCUUCCCAAGGCGAGACCUGUGUCUUAGGCCCACAGGCUUGGUCCAGGGCACAGCUGACAGGCGUUAGGUUUCCUCACGACCAGGCAGUGCUUUGGUUUGGGAAGAAUGCAGCCCUCUGUCCACUCAGAAGGUAGCUAGGUUUCCUCAGGACCUGCUGGGAGGGGACCCAUCUGCAUAUCUGAGGUUAUUGAUAUUUCUCCCAGCAAUCUUGAUUCCAGCUUGUGCUUCAUCCAGUCCAGCAUUUCGCAUGAUACACUCUGCAUGCCUGACUUUGCUACUCUGAGUCCCGGUUCCGGUACUCAUACGUCCCGGCUCUGGUCCACACAGAGGCCUGGCUCCGGACCUCAACGCUGAGAGCUGGCUCUGCUCCUCACUGAAGUCCAGCUGCACCCCUGCCUGAGUCUCGGCUCAGCUCAGCACGCCAGGUCCUCUCCGCACUGAGACCCGGCAAGGCUCUGCCCCUCACUGGGCCUGGCUGUGGUCCUCGGUGAGGCCUGGCCCCACUGCGCAAUCACGUGUGCCUCCCUUGCUCCCUGAGGUCCGGCUCCCUCCUCGGUGAGGACAGCUCUGCUCCACACGGGCCUGGUUACGGUCCUCACAGAGGCCAGGCUGUCUUCUCACUGCAGUUCAGCUGUGCUCCUCCUUGAGGCAUGACUUUGCUCCUCUGAGGCCUGGCUCUGCUCUCCACUGAGAACCAGCUCCAGUCCACAAUGAGGACCGGCUCUGGUCCCCACUGAGGCCUGUCUCCCGUCCUCACUGAGGUUCCACUCCGGUCCUGUGAUGUGCUCUGGGGCCCGGGUAGGGUCCGCACUGAGGCCAGGCUCCGCUCGGCUCCGCUCCGUGAGACCCAGCUCCUCCUGCAGAGGCCUGGCUCCGCUCAGCACUGCCGCACAGCUCCGCCCUGCAAUGGGCCUGGCUGUGGUUCUCGGUGAGGCCACGGUAUCGUCCUCAGUGAAGCACAGCUCCAGUCCACGCUCAGGUCCUUAGUGAGCCCCGGCUCUGGUCCUCACAGAGAUUUGGCUUGCUUCUAACCGAGGUUUGGUUCACCUCCGUGAGGCCUGACUGCUACUCUGAGGCCAGGCUCCCCUCCUCACUUGGGGCCAGCGCCACUCCUCAGGUAGGCCUGGCUCUGCUCCGCACCGGGGCCUGGCUCCAGCACUGAGUCCUGCUCUGGGCCUCACUGAGAUUCAGCUCCAGCACUGAGUCCUGCUCUGGGCCUCACUGUGGUUCAGCUACCCUCCUCACUGAAGCCCAACGUUCCUUCACUGAGAGUGAAGGUUCACCUCCACUCUUCACUCAGGCCCAGCCUGGUCCUCCUUGAGGACGGAAUUUGGUUCUCUGAGGCAAGACUCCAUUCUACACUGAGGCCCAGCUACACUCCACAUAGAGACUGGACUCGGGUCCUCUCUGAGGUCUGGCUCUGCUCCUCAGUGAGACCCAGCUUCUCUCUGACUGAGGACUGGCUCCACCCACACUGGGGUCUGGCUAGGGUUCUCACUGAGCCCAGCUGGCUUCUCACUGAGGUUCUCUUCUCCCUCUUCCUGAGGAUUGACUUGACUACUCUGAGUCCCGGCUCUGGACCUCACUGAGGCCAGGCUCCACUCCACACCGGGGCAUGGCUACAACCUCAGUGAGUUCCGGCUCGCUUCUCACUGAGGUUCCAUUCUCUUCCUGAGGCCUGACUUUGCUACUCUGAGUCCUGGCUGUAAGGCGAGCAUGGAGAAAAGGAGAGUGAGCCGGACAGUCAGGCAGAGAAAUAUUUAUUAUAGGAAGAAAGAAAGUGGUUUUAGAGAGAAACCAGUGCUCUCUUGUUACAGCCAACCCUUCUUAUACCGUAUCGAUGGGAAAUUGUGCCCCAGAGGGGUUUAUCCUUAGCCCACAGCUGGAGUCCUGUGGUCACAUAGUCAAAGGGGUCUCAUGGUCGGGUGGUCAUGUAGUCUUGAGAAACUGGCACCAGCAGGGAAAAACAGGGUAUCGCCUUAAGGAAAAAACAGAAAGCCGUCAGGGCAACGUGGCCACCGCGAUUUCACCCCUUGUGUCAGGUUACCACCAUGGGCCAUAUUUUAACUACAGCUAUGAGCCCCUUGAGAGCCCUAACACUGGCUCUGGUCCUCAACAAGGUCCAGCUCCUCUCCUCACUGAGGCCUGGCUCACUUCUCACCACGGUUCACCUCUGAUCCUCCCUGAGACCUGACUUUGCUUCUCUGAGGCCCAGCUCUGGUCCUCCUCGAUGCCAGACUUUGCUUCUCUGAGGCAAGGCUCCAUUCUGCACUGAGGCCUGGCUCCACUCCACACAGAGGAUGGCUCCAGUGCUCAGUGAGACCGGCUCCUCUCUGCCCUGCACUGGGGCCCGGCUAUGGUCCUCAGUGAAGCCCGGCUCCACGCCUCACUGAGGGUCGGCUCUUGUCCCCAGGGAGGCCAGGCUUCGGUCCACACAGAACCUGGCUCACUUCUCACUGAGGUUCUGUUCUCCUCCUCCCUGAGGCCUGAAUUUACUUCCCUGAGGCCUGGCUCCUCUAGGGACUGAGAACCGGCUCCGCUCUCCACCGAGGCUCCUAUCCGCUCCUCACUGGGACCCACCUCCCUCAGCACUGAGGCCCGGGCCUCACAGAGGCCAGGCUCGCUUCUCACUACCUUUCACCUGCUUCUCCCUGAGGCCUGACUGCUUCACCGAGUCCCGUCUCCGCUACUCAGGAAGGUUCGGCUCUGGUCCUCCCUGAGGCCCAGGUCACACGUUACAGAGGCUCAUCUCUGCUCCUCCCUGAGGCCCGACUUCGCCUGUCUUCAGCCCGGCUCCGCUCCACAAUGAGGCCCGGCUCUGCUCCUCACCGAGGCCCAGUCUGGUCCUAAGGCUCGCCUCCGGCCUUCACUGAGUCCUCGCUCUGCUCCUCGCUUAGGCCCAACUUUGCUUCUCUGAGGCCUGGCUUGCUUCUCACUGAGGUUCAGCUCUGCCCCUCUGAGUCCAGACUUUGCUACUCUGAGGCCCUGCUCCGCCCCACUCCACACUGAGGCCUGGCUCACUUCUCACUGAGGUUCCGCUCUCCUCCUUGAAGCCUGACUCUGCUUCUCUGAGGCAAGUCUCCGCCCCUCACAGAGGCCCAGCUGUACUUCCCUGAGGCCCUGCUCCACUCGUCGGUAUGGCCCGGCUCUGCUCCUCACUGAUUCCCAGCUCUGGUCCUCAUUCUGACCUGAUUCUGUUCGUCUCUCAGACCUGACUAUAACAGGAGUCUCCAUCAAUAUGGAACUUAAAACCACAACCUUCACAUACUUUAAAAUUGUUAUAUUAAAAAUAAAGGUAAUUUUUGGCAACAAUGUAUAGAAAUUGGAACUUUUAAAUGUUAGUUGUCGAAAUGUGAUAUGGCUCAAUCUACUUACGUAAAACUUUGGCAUCUUAUAAAAAAUAUAAAAAUGCAGUUAUCAUCAGUUUCAAAAAGUCUGCUCUUACAUAUAUACCCAAAGAAUUUUAAAUAACUGUUGAAAUAAAACUUGUAUACCAACACUCACAGCAGCGCUGCUCUCGAUGCCCCUCUGAAAGAAGAAUCAAAACGCCCAUCAUUGGGUUAUGGGAUAAGGAAAGUAGGGUAGCUCCG
ensembl:lncRNA